CAUUUUAUGUUUGUUUUGCGUAAAAUUGAGGUAUGCGAUUUGAUUUUUUAAUAAAUAAAUAAAUAAAUGGAACGUUCCAGGUAAUUUGGCCUCGAUUUUUCAACGGUUGAGGUGAAAGUUCUGUCAUGAAAUAUAUUAGUUAUAGUAGUGGAUAGACAGUGGCGGAACUGAGGGGGGACGUGGGAAGGCCACGACCACCCCUCAACUUUUUAUUUUUUUUUAAAUUCAUAUAUAUUAAAUUACUAAAACAUCCUUAUUUUAAAUUAAAAUUAAUUUUUAUUUUUUUCUUUUUCAUUCAAAGUUAGGUUAAAGUACAGAUAAGGUAAAAAGCUCAUACCUUUCCUU
rnacentral:lncRNA from 1 species